AAGUACCACGAAUUCCUCUACAACAUCUGUAAAUUAAUCCAGCCUACAGUUUUCAACAUUGAUGUGACUUGCACGACAAUUGAGGAGUUUAAGAUCCUUGCUUUUACUUUACCUGGCAGAGUGGACACUCUUUAUUAUGAUGAUCAUUUAAAUGCAUAAGAGGAUUUGUUUUAUGUUCUUCCAAUUAAGGACUUGGUUUAUUACAGUCCCUGUGGCAAGCAGUUUUCUGCAUGGUCAGCAUUGAAGGCCAUAUUGUCUUUGAGAGGGUCCAGCCAACAUUCCAGGCUGGACAGUGUUGUCCAUCUUCUUCAUCUUCAACCUCCAAUAUCAACAUGAGGCAGCCAAGACUUUGGAGUUCAUUCAACAUCGCUUCAUUGGGAUUAACCCAGAAAGGGGCACAAAAGCUGGUCAUGGGAAGAUGGUAUCCAAAAAGACAAGAAAGACCAUUCAAAAGAAAAAGUGACGGUCAAUGUUCAGGUUUCCACCCUCAUCAAAAACCUGAUGGACUUUGAGUGGCAUCUCAUUCAGUAAGUGCCACUUGGACUCUUGAAAACCAUUAAUAGUUCACAUUUUAAAACCCUGUUAAUACUAGAAUUCCACAUUAUUUCAGCCAUGUUGAAUUUUAGAUUUUGGAAGUCAUUUUUCUUUGAUUUGUUUAGUGAUACCCAAAGCAUGGAUAUUUCUUUAAGAACUGUGUUUUUAUGUUCAUAAGAUUGUAGAAAUUAAUGAGUUAAACCCAGUUUAUGUCACUGUAAACUGAAAGUCUUCAAUUUUUAUUCCAGUGUUGGUGAAACUAUAUAUUGACUUUGAAGGCCUAUUUUAUACCAGUUCUCUGAGGAAUGGUUUUGUGUUAUUUGUUUUGAAUGUUUGAAUAUACUGGAAAUAUAUGUGGUUUGAGGCAUGUGAUGCCUUUAAAUAAAAAUUCUGUUCUGACGGUUACUUAUCACAUCCUCUUUUGUGUUGUGUGAAGUUCUGAUUAUGCAGAUUAUGCAUUUUAGAACCGCACCAAUUGUACCACUUCUAAGAAGCCUACACUGGGUCAGGUAUUAAUGUUCUAUCGUAAAACUAAGACUGUACUUUAAAAAGUAGCAUUACAGUUUUCUUGGCAGUAGUUUACUCAUAAAGUGAAUGCAGUAGUAAAACUAAAUUUACAGUAAAAAUACUGGAACCUACAGAUGCCAGUAUUUGAAGGUAUAUUUACUUUCACCACUGUAUUUUACGGUGGCCAACAGAUCUCAGGUAAGACAAUACAGUUUAAUCAAACUAUUGUAUUUUUAGGCUUAACUUUAAUCAGUCAAACCGAUUUGCUCAGGAAUAAAUGAAAUAUUUUAGUGAACCAAAAUAUUACAACUAGAUGUUACCUGACUUAAUAUCUGUGUUUAACUGUCAUUUAGGAAAGCCCAAAUGAGUCAGGUGUUCUCCCGUGGUAUACUAAACCUGGACCAGCAGGCAGCAGGCGAGGGGAGCUGGGUGUUAAUGCAGCGGGAGCAGACAUUUCCGAAAACGUCGGAGCAAUAUUGCAAUUAGGUGAUGCACUGAUGAACCGAGUAGAAAUGUGAGAUUUAUACAUCUACAUUCUCGCCUACAAACAUUGUUUAAAUCAUGUUGUGUCACGGUUGCUAAGCAACAUAACGCCUUGGUGGAGGCUAGGCAGCUAGCUAAAGGCUACAGCUUCUCUCUGCAAUGCUCUCUGCCUUCGCAGAGAGCACAUGUGGGCCUCUUCCGUAGACCGGGUCGUUUCUCAAGCCCACGAAAGAAUAAGCUUGAAAGGAUGCAGACCCUGAAUUCGGACACAAAGCUCUAGUGGUCUGAAACACUUAUUUUUAUAUAUUUUUUGCAUGUCUUUUUUG